GCCAGGGGUAGGGGCACACCCCUGUAGUUUCUGCUAUGGAGGAGGCUAAAGCCAGUGGAUUGCUUGAGCUCAGGAGUUCUGAGCUUCAGUAAAGCUAAAGCUGAUCAAGUGUCUGCACUAAGUUGGGUACCAAUGUGGUGAACUCCUGGGAACAGUGCCCACCAUGCUGUCUAAGGAGAGGCUAGGUCAGGAAAGGAACAGGCCACGGCUUCCACGUGGAUGAGUUGUGGGAUUGGCCCGUGAGAGGCCAAUACAUUUAUAGCCUAGGUGAGAUAGGGAGAACAGGUCUUA
rnacentral:SRP_RNA from 1 species